rnacentral:snRNA from 1 species
AAAUGGCUUAUAUUUGUACACCA